rnacentral:rRNA from 1 species
AGUGAACGCUGGCGGCAGGCCUAAUACAUGCAAGUCGAACGGCAGCACAGCAGAGCUUGCUCUGUGGGUGGCGAGUGGCGGACGGGUGAGGAAUACGUGGGAAUCUGCCCAGUCGUGGGGGAUAACGUAGGGAAACUUACGCUAAUACCGCAUGCGCCCUUCGGGGGAAAGCCGGGGACCUUCGGGCCUGGCGCGAUUGGAUGAGCCCACGUCGGAUUAGCUAGUUGGCGGGUAAAGGCCCACCAAGGCGACGAUCCGUAGCUGGUCUGAGAGGAUGAUCAGCCACACUGGAACUGAGACACGGUCCAGACUCCUACGGGAGGCAGCAGUAGGGAAUAUUGGACAAUGGGCGCAAGCCUGAUCCAGCCAUGCCGCGUGAGUGAAGAAGGCCCUCGGGUUGUAAAGCUCUUUUGUCCGGAAAGAAAAGCGCCGGGUUAAUACCCUGGUGUCCUGACGGUACCGGAAGAAUAAGCACCGGCUAACUUCGUG